rnacentral:rRNA from 1 species
AAGUGCUGAAAGCAUCUAAGCACGAAACUUGCCCCGAGAUGAGUUCUCCCUGAGACUUUAAGUCUCCUGAAGGAACGUUAAAGACGAUGACGUUGAUAGGCCGGGUGUGUAAGCGCAGCGAUGCGUUGAGCUAACCGGUACUAAUGAACCGUGAGGCUUAACCUUACAACGCCGAAG